rnacentral:lncRNA from 1 species
AAAAUUUUGGUAGCAAAGCUGUCAAACAUUACGACAUUAUCUGGAACUUACCAUAGUGAAAGUGGAAGGCACAUAAAUGAAGGGGAAAGGUUACAGCAUGAACAACCUAUAAAUAUACUGCAUAGUUGGUACUUGAUCUCUACCAUUUCUUACAUUACAGAAAAAGUUUGUCAUUCAAACUUCAAAUAGGAAUAAUGCAAAUUUUUCUACUAUUGUUUUAGUACCUUCUCGUGUAUUACUUCAUUGCCCUGUAUGCUAUGGAAUUUUUCGUACUCAUUUAGAAUUCAUAGAUCAUAUAUGAGGUACUCACCCAUUAUCUGAGCAAACAACCAUCGUGCAUUCUCCUGUAUUUGCAUCCUAAAUUGUUUUGCCAGGAAAUCCGCCAUCAUCUCAACCUGUUGUACCACAACCUGUGAGUUUUCAGGAAAUGAUAGAGUUGUUGUCCAACCAGCAAAGUCUUUGAAUCGUAACGAGCCGACAAAAUGGGGCAGAGCACCACCAAUCGAUAGGCAACAAAUGGAAAGAAGCAUCAACCUUGGAGGUUCAAAUUCAACAUUUGCAGAUACAAAUGAUGCUACUGUAGAUUUUACAAGACCAUCGAUCAAUCAAUUAGAUGUUCCUAUUCCAUCAAAUACAUAUAAAAUAGUUAACGUAGCUGAAAAACAAAAUGAUUUGAACUUAAGCUUGAAGCUUUAAUUGAAGAAAAAAUUACGCUGAUCUUCUUUAUAAGGGGAUGUCUAACAAUGUUCUAAGUUUGGAGUCCUUUUUUUUCUAGUUUUAUUGUUAUAUGUUUGUCUGAUACUAGGGUGUCUAAAAGGGCGAGUCUGUCAUUUUAUUUUAUUUUAUUUUUUGUCAGACAUGGUGGGUGUCUAAAAUUGCAUUUUGAUUGGUGUCUGUUAUUUUUUAUUUAUUAAAAUAUUUGUCUUGAUUUAAAUAAUCCAAUCCAUUUAUUUGUGUGCAAAUAUUUUUUUGUCCUUGCUGAGUACAUUUUAAAAAACAAUAUUAUUAUAGUUCAAAUGUAGUUAAUUUCACCUAUUAUUACUAUGUUAAAAUGUCAAGUGAUAAGUCCCCGUAAAUUUUCAAUCAAUUUAUUUCAGAACCUCCCUUGUGCUAAAUGGUAAUUUUUGACUUGAAUCAUGAUAAGGAAUGUUAACGGGAUGUUUUGGGAGAGUUUCAGAAUUUCCGAAAAGCAUUCGGGGUCAUUUUGGUACUCCAAACCAGUGAGCCUCUGCGAAUAGGGGCGUGGGACACUGCCUACGCCCUGCAAUAAGGGAGUGGCACUCUUCCUACUCCCCACGAUAAGGGUGUGCCACACUGCUGAGCACAAAUCACCCAACUUCAUUUUUUCAAUUGGGGGCAAUGGUUUUUUGUCCUUUGCCAUUAGAUGACGUAAAUGUCUUUUAAUCCAUCAUAGUCAUCAGUUAUCAACUUUUAACAUUGCUAUUCUCCUCUCCAACUACCAAGUCAAGAAACUCAAGGUUUUCUCAAGAAUUCACUACUCUGGGCUUUAAACUCUGCAUUCUCUCCAAAUUCUUUCAAUUUUUAGGCAUGUUGGACACUUUCUAAUUUGAAUACUAUAUUAUUGCAUUCAUUCAAUUGUUAUUGAAGUUUUUUUUUUUUGAACUAUGGGUUUAAACUAGGGUUUGAGAAUUGUCAUCACUAAUGUGAAAUAUUAAUUUUUCUCUUCUUAUAAAUUAUUUAUAAUCACUUGCGGUGGAUUUUAGAUUUUUGAAUAACAUGUUUGAAAGGAUGCAUUUCAUUAGAUAAGUAUUAAAACAUUGAAUGUUAAGGAUGAUUGAAAUCAUGAUAUUCAAGUCCUUUGAAAAAGCUUUGAAUUGAGAUGAUGAACAAAUAUGACACCCUAUCUUUUUGAGGUAUUGAAAGUGUUAAACUUUAUGACUGCUUUGAGAUUUUUUUGCUAUUUAAUGAUUAUUAUGAGCAUCAUUUUGAAUGAUGGGAUUAAGGAGUCGUAACUAUUUUAUGAUAAUGGUUCUUGGUAUGAUAUGAAUGGGUUGCAAGUCUUGGUAUGACGAUAACAGUAUGAAUAUAUCCUAAUGAAUGACUCCCUGAUAAAUGUUAUGUUCAAACUAUUUUAAUUGGGAUCUAAAGAAAAUUAUAUAGCACACUGUGAAGGCAUAAGUCUUCGUGACCAACGCUUGAAACCUAUAUUGUUGGCAUAGAGAUGUCGUACCUUAAUUGGAUGAUUAGAUUAUGUGCUUAACAUGAUGAUAAUAUGUAUGGUGGCUUUAUCAUACUUGUGACUUUAGCUUAACUUCGGUAUGUGAGACCAACAUGGACUGGGGGCCCAUUGGUUUGGGAGUACCGCACCCAUAUAGCCCGUGGGUUACUAGAUGACCCAUACUAUCCAUGGGUCAGAAAACUACGAUGAAAGCUAUAUAGUUCAGGAUUAAAUUUCAAAGGUUCAUAUAACAUGUCCCUUACCCCUACCCCAACAUCCUAUUAUAUAUAUAUAUAUAUAUAUACACUUGAUAUGCAUGUGGUUUAUAAUUGGUUUUAGUAAAUACAUACAUGUUUUAUCUCUUUCUUCGGGUGCAUUCCAGUAUUCACCAUACUGACCGUCCUCGAAUGGUUUGAUUUCUUGAUCGAAAAACUAUGAAGUAGUGAGCCCUCCAUUUUACGAAAGGCCUGGUCUCUCUUUUUGGUUUUAGUUUAUUAUUCUAGCACUUUUGUAUUUCUUUUGUUAUAAUCACGGACAUGUUCGGAUUUAGUAGGUAUUCUUUAUAUUAGAGUCUUUUGUAGGCAGUGUUGGGUAUUUCUGUAUGGAAUUGAUUGUUGACUCACAAACUUACUCUUUGAUUAUUACAUCUCUCUUAUCCUACUGUUUAGCUUCCACAGUUCAUUAUUUUACUAUGCUCUUGAGGUAAGGCUAAGGGAUCGUCCUAGGCAUUGAUUGGUUUAGGAUGCCCGUCACGGCCAGGCCUCAGUUCGAAUCAUGACAAGCUUGGUAUCAAUGCAUGGUUUAGGGUUCUAGGAUGUCCACGAAGUCAUAUCGAGUAGAGUCUCUCUCAUGGGUGAGUGGCGCACUACACUUAUAACGGGGAGGCUAAAGACAUUUAAGAAUGUUUUCCUUCCUUGUGUUCUAUUUCAAGCUUGGGAGUCUAGUUACCAUGAAACUUCUCUAACUCCUAACUUACUCGCAUUUUAGAUCUUACAUCCUCGAAGAUAUGACAGUCAUAGGAACUUAGCUAGAACCUCUAUCCCAAUUGGGGAAAAUGUGGAGGAUGUUUGCCCUACUCAUGAAAUACAAACUCAAAAUAAAGCCCAUGCUCUGGAUUAUACUACUCCACCAGGGAUUCCACCGGUCCUUACUAGUCCUCCUCAAGCUGAUAAUACUCAUACUCAAUUUCCUUAGGGAGAUAUCUCGAAUGCUGAGUUCCAUCAGUCCAUCCAUAUGCUUACGUGGAAUAUAGCCUCCCAGUUUCAUCAUCUUGAUCAUGUCGGUCCUUUUGUUAACUCGUCUGAGGCCACUCGAGUUUGCCAAUUUGUGAGGCUGAAUUCCCUAAACUUUACAGGCUUUAAGGUUGAGAAGGAUCCUCAGGAGUUUAUUAAUGAUAUGGAAGAUCUUCAGGGUGAUGCAUGCUAGUGAUUUAGAGAGGGUCGAGUUUGUAGCUUAUCAAUUGAAAGAAGUGUCUUAUCAGUGGUACGAGGAGUGGGAAGAGUUAAGGGGUGAAGAUAUUGAGCCGGUAGUGUUGGAAGGGUUCUUGGGUACUUUCCUUGGUCACUUCUUUCCUAAAGAGUUGUGGGAGGCUAAGGCUGAAGAGUUUUUAAACCUAAAAUAAUGUAAAAUAAGUGUUAAGAAGUUUGCAUUAAAGUUCACUCAACUAUCUCGUUAUGCUCUUGAGCUUGUGUAACACCCUGAGUCUGGUACCUCGGACGCUACACGGUGCUUAUAAACUUGAAGGACCAUAAUCUAACCCAUGUAUACUACCUGUUGCAAAUACUGAAUAACAAUACUAUAUAAUGCAGAAUAAUGGGCUGAAAUUCCAUAAGGUUCAAUACUGUAAUAAAUCUGACAAUACGGUAUAACAAUACCAAGACAAAAACAACUGUCUGAAAAUACUCUAGUCUGAAAAGCCUCUAAGUUUUCUGAAUAGGAGUUGAUGGGACAAUCGUCCAACUAAAUUCAUCUACUGAAAUACUAAGUCUAAUGAAAUAAUAAAAUAAAAGAAUAUCCUCGAAUGAUGAGGACUCACUGCUAAGUUUACUGCUGUUGGCUGGAUUUGAACUGCUAAGGAUGCUCGGGAGCUCUUGUGUCUGAACCUAUGUUAUAAGACACCAUAGCUUAAGAAAGUAUGUGUCAGUACGUAAGAAUGUACUAGUAUGCUAGAUGAGGUAAGGCUAAAUGCAAGGGUUCGUAUACAUAGACAAUACUGACUGAAUAACAUGAGUAUGCUGAAUAAGGAUACAUGCAUAAAUACAUAAACCAUAACUAAAAUCAUAGUGAUACUGAAUACUGAGUUCUAAUAACUGGAUUACUGCUAAUUGAGUCUACUAAUACUGUGUUACUGAUACUUAGUCUACUAAUAUGCUGAUAUUGAUUUACUGUAUCUAACAGUACUGAUUUCUGAUGGAACUAGUUGAGUUCUGUACUGAGUUGAGUGAUUGUAUCUGAUAGUCCUGAGAUCUAUAGAUAUAUCUGAGUUCUAUUUUGAAGAAUGAGAAUGAAACUGAUACUGUGGGAGUUAAUCAUCUAACUGACAUGCCCUGAGUCUAAACUAGUGGGGUCCAACCUGUAACCCCAGCUGAAAGGGUGUUAGUACCGUGCUUAGGGUAAAGACAACUACUAUGUAGUCAGUCCUAACUAACGGUUGACUCCUAAGAUCAAUCCUAUCUAGCAGGUAAUCCCUGAGUAUGUCAGUCCUAUCUAAUAGGUGAUAUCUCAUGACCUAUGCUGGAUAUGUAGUUCUGGAACUUAGGGAUUGCUUUUAGGGACCCAGUCCUAGCUAUCACGCGAGUCCCCAUCCUUACGAUCGCUCGGUGCUGAAUCCUACUCUCAACUGAAAGACACUAAACUAAUUUCAUAGUUCAUACUAGGCUUGACUAAACUGGUACUGAUCAUACUGUUUAACUGAGCUGAACUAAGAUCACUGAGUUCCGUUGACUGACGGAAUACUUCUAAAUUUUUCGCUGAAUUCUACUGAUCGUGACAUGACUGAGACUAUUUUGUAACUGACACUGGCUCUAGGAAAAUAGCUAAAUUGUCGGGUAUUAAAUACCCCCAGGAUUCGAUAACAUGAUAAGUAAAGCAUAACAUGAUCUUGCAAAGCAUAACAAUACACGCUUGUUCAUAAUUCAUCUAUUGAGACAUUUCAUCAAACACUUGUAGGGCAUAGGCUUGUGCACAUACUAACAUCUUACAAUUUCAUCAACUUAUUCACAUGAAAGUCAUAAACUCAUACAUAAUAGGAAUACAUUCUAAUGUCUCAUGAUUCAUUCAAUACGGCCUUUCAUCAAACACUUGACAUGUAUUAACAUGUACAUGAAUGGGGAUUUCUUAUUAACAUGCUAUAAUGACACUAUUUCAUUCACAUAGGUAUUUUAUCAAACAUAUAGGGAGCAUGCUUUGAUCAUACAACAAUCAAUACAUCUAAUUAUCAUGUCUAAUCUUUCAACUUGCAAUUUGAGGGGUUUAUCAUGAACAUCAUGCAAAUCAUCACAUUUUAGGAUCAAUUAUUGAAUCUUGUAAUCUAAAACAUGAAUCAAAACUCAACAACAACAUAAACAUGAAUUUCAAUUCAAAUAAAUCAUGAAAACUCACAAAUAUACAAUCUUUGUAUUUUGAAAAUAGAUUCUUGGGCUUCAUGGGUGGAAGGGACCCAUGAAUAAACAUCUAACAUACCUUAAUGCUUGAUUUUAAGAAGAUUGAUGGUGAAAUUCUUGAGAGUUGAAUCUUGAAUUUAAAACCCUAAUGCUUUUUCUUGAGAGAGUUUGAGAGGAUGAGAGUAUAUUUUGGUGAAUUAGGGCUAAAUUUCGUGUUUAUGGCUGAAUUAGAGUGGAGAAAUAACCCUUUUGCCCUUUAAAAAUUUGGGGCUGGACUGCUAAAAGUACCCCAUCUGGAAUGGAAAGUGCAUCAUGGGCUUUAGUUUGUCGCUCUAGGCAGGGCACCGCGGUGCUUAGAGCAUUUCUAUGGCCAGGGCGGCACAGGAUUAACGGCUUUAGCUACUGGUUUGGAAAUCCAAAUAGGCCCUUAUGCUUGUUCGAAAAUGAUGAAACUCAUCCGAGAUGUACUGCUGACUUGCCCCAUUGUGAAUCAACUUAAAAAUUGACAAACGAAGGUCGGGAAGGUCAUGAAAUAAAUCCUCAAAGUUUGAAGGCUUUGAAAGAGUCUAAGUCUUCACACUUAGCUAAAAUUCUCUAAGUGUGAGAUCCCUUAUGAAGCUCUAAGGAGGCUGAAUUAGACUUAGAAUUUUUGCUGGGUUUUACAAUAUCUCCCUCUUGGGAACAUUUAUCCUCGAAUGGGACUAACUAAGCUGAGAUUACAGAUAAACUGAACUUACUUACUGGACAUGAUCAUCUGAAACAUAAUUAUAUGGUUGGAACCACUGAUAUACUAAAAUUCCAUACUGAACAUGCAUAUCUGAUGCAUGAGUACAUGGCUGAACUGACUCAUGAAUGCAUGACUGAAUAUGAAAUGGUAACUGAUACCAAGUUUGUAAGGAAAAUUUGAACAUGAAACUGAAUGGGUUUAAGGACAUGAAAGCAUCGCGGAAUUGUAGGGUAUCUCCUCUUUGGGACACUAUGUCCUUCUAAGAAUGCUUACUAUAUUAAGAUACUGGGGAAAACUGGGGUGAUGUACAGGAUACCUACAAACUGAAUUGCAACUGAAUAUCUGGGAUCUGAAACUAAUGCAUGAUUCAUAAACUGAGCUGAACUGGAAACUACUAGGAUGUUCUAUCUUGGAAUAGUUACAUUUCUAAUAUUUCUGAUAGUAUGACUACAUGGAGAUGGGAAAACAAACCAUAUGAAUUUGACUGUCUGACUGCUAAACUGAAUUGCUGGCUUUAAUGACUAAAUCAUGCUGAAAACUUAAGCUCAACUAGAUCAAGGGACCUAACAAAGCAUAUCAUAAAUAUGAAAGACUCAUAACCUACCCGAAUCUAUAUUAGGGGAACUUCGCUGAUCAUGUCGAGUCUGGAAUGCAUAAAAUCUGUUAUGACAUUGACCACUAGUGGUAUUGGAAGUGGCGCCCUACUAAUGCAAAUCUUUACCCCUCUGAGCCAAUACUCUAUACUCCCAUAGCCUGUGUCCUGGCUUACCAUAUCCAAAACAUACCUCAUUGCCAGCUCUACACAUAGCUAGGUGAUUUCUACUACACUUUUUGCAAAGUAGAUAGGUACGAUCACUAUUUAUACUACCCUAGGUCUUGGAGCCUGGCGCCCCAUCAUGACUGUCAUUCCUGAACUUGAGUACUAGUGCACUAGCUGUAGAUAGAGAUGGGACUGAAAACUUCUGGCUAAACUGAGAACGGUUACCACCCUGUGACCCUAGCUGAGAAAAACUAAAACUACCUAUUCUAGCUCUCUUAUUUUCCUUCUUUUUCUUCUUAGAUUCUGCUCCUCAAUCUGCUGAGCGUGGACCAUAAGCCUAGAUAUGUUCAUAUCCUUAAUUAACAUCAGUCCUUUACUCCUUAACCACACUAUCAGAUACCCUAGACACAAAAUUGAUUAUUCUGGAUCUAUUGUCUGCUACAACAUGAGGAACAUAUUUGGCUAACUGAGUAAACUUGAGGGAAUACUCUUUUACGCUCAUGCUAUAUUAUCUGAGAUUGAUAAACUCUAACACUUUGGCUUCUCUCAGCUCUAGGGGAAAGAAUCUAUCUAAGAAGGUUCUAGCAAACUCUUCGCAUUUUAUGGGCUCUGCAUCUGUACCCCUGUCUACUUUCCACUGCUUAAAUUAUGUAUAGGCUAUAUCUUGUAGCUAAUAGGCAGCUAACUCAGCACUCUCACUAAAAGUCACUUCCAUAAUAUUUGUGACUUUCUGAACCUGAUCAAGGAACUCCUAUGGAUCCUCUUUUGACUUGGAUCCUGAGAAUAGGGGAGAAUUCAUUUGAGUGAAGUCUCAAAUCUUGGUAGAAGCAGUAUUGGCAACUGGGUUGGCCUGAACAAUAGCUAGAUGCCUAUUAUGGACUACUACAGCCUUAGCUAGAGUAGUGAAUGCUACUCUGAAUUUUGCAUGAGAGACGUGCUCCUCCAGAGGAUCUGGUUGGAUAGGAUGAGGUGCUAACUGAUUCUCAUUCCUUCUUUUAUUUGUCCUUUUGGGAGGCAUGUUCUGUAAAAAGAAGGAAAAGAUAAGUUAGAUUGAGGCUUAACUGGAGAUUAUGCUCACUCGUAUGACAUGAAUACUGAAAGAAGGGAAACUGUUCCUAAAAUAUCUUAUUGCCUUAUACUUAUAAGUGUGGCGCGCAACACACCUAUGCAUAAGACUCUACUAGAUGCGGCUUUCAGACUUUCUAGGACACUAUUAAACUCUAGGCUCUAGUACCAAGUUUGUAAUGCCCUGAGUCUGGUACUUCGAAUGCUACACGGUGCUCAUAAUCCUGAAGGACCACAAGCUAACCAAUGACUGGUACCUGCCUCAAAUACUAAAUAACAAUACUGUAUAAUAAGAAAUAAUGGGCUGAAAUGCCAUAAGGUUUAAUACUGUAAUAAAUCUGACAAUAAGGUAUAACAAUACCAAGACUAAAACAACUGUCUGAAAAUACUCUAGUCUGAAAAGCCUCUAAACUGUCUAAAUAAGGAGUUGAUGGGAUAGUUCCCCAACUAACUCCAUCUACUGAAAUACUAAAUCUAAUGAAAUAAUAAAAUAAAAGAAUAUUCUCGAAUGAUGAUGACUCACUGCUAAUUCUACUACUACUAGCUAGAUCUAAAUUGCUAAGGAUGCUCGGGAGCUCGCGCAUCCGAACCUAUGGUAUAAGACCCCAUAGGUAAAGAAAGUAUGUGUCAGUACGUGGGAAUGUACUCGUAUGCUAGAUAAGGUAAGGUUAAAUACAAGGGUUUAUAUACAUAGACAAUACUGACUGAAUAACAUGAGUAUGCUGAAUGAGGAUACAUGUAUGAAUACAUAAACUAUAACUGAAAUUGUAGUGAUACUGAAAACAUAAACUAUGAAUACGUCUGUAUUUUUCUUUGAGAGGCUAUAGGGCAUUUAAGAAAAGUUUCCUUUCUUUCCUUCUCUAGAUCGUCCAGUAAAUUUUUCCUAUCGAAAUCUCCUAUCCAUUCGUGUGGUACCCCAAAAUUCAUCACCUAUGUAUUAUACUUGAGAUAACAUAAUUAGCAAGUUUCAAUUUCCUCCCGAGAUAAUGCUCUCAGAAUUACUAGUAAAAGUUUUAAAAGUCAUACAAAGGGGCUUGAGAGGACCUCUCUAGUGUGUCAUGAGUCCCUUAUGUUGAAAGUUAUGUCCUCAUUCUUAUGAAUCAUUCAGUUAAUACAAAUUAAGAUAUGUAUUCAUAUUCCUCAUUAGCCUUUCAAUAUGGAUAGUACUCAUUAGAAGAACUAGUGUGAGUAUUGAUUGCUGAUUAGAGUUUGUGUUCAUGAGAUAUUGAAACCUAGAGUGAUAUGAUUCAUAAGUAGUUGAAACUUCUUAUAGUUGGAAGUUUGAGUAUAGAAGAGUAAUAGAAAGAAGAGUGAGCAUGACGAUUGAUAGAAAGUAUAGAGAUAAACUUAUGCAUGCUAUAGAUCUUGCAUUAUGUUGAUAUGUCCUUGUGUGUUAGUUUAGUAGAAGGUAGAGAAGGAGUUAUUAGUUAAGGUGAAUUGUUGUUUACUUAAAGUAUGAAAAGAAUUGUUGAUAGUAUUUAUUGUGUUAUAAAAGUAUAGAUUAUUGAUGAAAGUACUUGGUGGUUUAGUAUUGUCAAUUUAAGCUUCCCCUGAGGUUGCAAAAAGGAGUUUAGUUGAAACUUAUAGGACUAUGAAAGAAGUUUAGCUGUAUAGAUGGGUGAAUAGUAGUGAUGUGUAAAAAGAGGACAUGUUAAUGGAUUAUAAUAAGAUAGGCUAUAUAAUCUUGAUCAAUUAUUGUUCUUAUACGGUUUUAGUAGACUAGUUUUUCUUGAUGUUUUAUUUUAUAGUUUCCAAGUGAGAAUUGUGUGUGAGGUUGGGUUGUAAAUUAUGUUUAGCUCUAGACAUUAAGUUUAAACUGUGGAGGGUCAUCAAGGUGGAUGUAAAGAUUGCUUGGUUAGUGAUGCUAGUUAGAUGGAGGUGAACCAAUAGGCUUGAAAAUAGUGAAUGAAAGAAUGUAAGUUUAUUGAUUUGAGAUUAAGCAUGAUGUUGUAGGUAUGAGGUAGUGGUGUGCCCAAGGGGAUAUAAGGUUGCAUUAUUUUCUAUGUUUCUUACGUAUUGUGUGUGGUUAGUAGUACCCUUGAGUUUUAAGUGGAAAAAGCAUAAUUGUCUAGUACAUGGUAUUCUGGAUAGCCAAGUUAAGGAGUUAUGGAUAGAUGAUGUUGAGUCUUUUAACUAUGAUUUUGAUUCUUAUGAUUUGUGAAAAAUAUAAGUAUAGAGGUAUGAUCUUUCUAGCCCAUGAUUAUGUGUUUAGUAACGCAGGUAUGUUUUUUUAGAAUUAAGAGAGUGUAAGUCUAUGAUGAUGAUUAUCAAAGAUAGAGGGAGUUAAGGAUGGUAUAUGGGAGGGGUUUAAAACUUAGAAAAUUUCAGCUAAGUGUUGGGACUUAGUCUUUUCCAAAGCCUUCUAACUUUGAGGAUUUUAUUUAUGACCAUCCCAACCUUCGAUAGUUAAUUUUUAAGUUGAUUCAUUAUCAGGGGAUUUAAUAGUACAUCUUAGGUGAGUUUGGAAUUUUCAGACCCCGUUUAGGGAAUGUUUGGAUGUCCAAACCAGUAGCUAUGCACGAUUAGCAUGCAACGCAUGAUCCAAUCCACCCCUACGAGCAUGCGAUAGAGCAUGCGAUGAACGCUUCAUAGCGUGUGAUGCACGCUACACAACAUACUUCCUUAUUUUUCCAACUCCUAUUUCUGCGUAUUAAAGGGCCAAUGCUUAUAUACCUCAUACGUAUUCAAGUUUAUUCUCAACUUUUAGUAAGUAAGUAAUGGCUUCACUCUAUGGUUUGAUUCAUCCCUCAGAAAUCUAUGGACUUCAGUCUUAUAUUGAAUUGCUUGUGAUAAGUAUGAACUCAUGUUUCAGAGUAUGACCAGUUUUUUUGAACUCAUGAUACUGUUGAAUUCACAUUAUAUCAUUUAUGUCCUCAGUUUAGAUCUCUUUAAUGAAUCCAUGCCUUUGAUAUUCUGUUCCUCAGGCCUCAUUUAAGUGUUAAAGUUAUAUAUAGUAGUCUUUCGUAUUCAGGUCCUUAUGUGUUAGCCCUUCAGUAACCUCUUCCUAUGUCAAGAUAGUGGCGAUGAUAAUGGAUAACAAUGAUUUAGAUGAGAGGGAGUUGAUGACCCUCAUUAAGAAAGAUCAAUUAUGCUUUUCUAUCUAAGGGUAAAGUGUGAAGUAAGAUUGAGGCCAAGUCUUUGGUACCUUUCAUAGUUAGUAAAGAAUUAUGGGUAUGUUUUCUUAAGAAUAAUGCAAGAAAAUUAUCAUUGAUAGAGGUUUAGAGAAUAUGCAAAGUAUGCCUUUAUAUGUAUUUGCCUUGAAGUUAUAUAUGGGUAUAAAGAUAGGCUUGAAUGUCAUAUUGGGAUGUAAGUGGAGGAAUGCAAUAUACGCUAGUGAAUCCAUAGUAAGAGUUCAGAGUUGGUCAUUAAAGUGGUAAAGCACAUUAUGCUUAGAGAGUGAGCUCUAAGAGAGACAUAGAGGAUUGAAGCAUGUUGUUUAGACUAGUAUUGUGGCGUGGCAUGUUGUACCUUGUGAUCUUGAGUUAGGAUUGAUCAUGGUGAGAAGACUUAGAUCAAUUUUGACAUUAGUAGAAUGAAUUAUGAAUGGCCAUGUGAGAAUUAGGAGUUGAAUCAAUGAAGAUGGUGAGAGAAUUUAGUUCAGUCUAGACAUCAGUAGAUGGAAAUAUUAGUGCUAUAUGAGAAUUAUAAGUUGAAUCAAGCGAGUAUAGUAUUUAAGGGGAAUAGUAUAAAUGAGGGAGUAUUCGAGAACUGUUGCUAAGCUUGAAGGUAAGAAGUUGCAUCGCCUAAAACCUGGUAAUUUUAUCAUAGUUUAUGAUUUAUAUGUCUAUAUUCCAUGUUAUGGAGUGUUGAAGAGAUACUCCAACUAUGUAUAAGUUUCCAGCGUAAUUCAGUCAGUAUAGCCAGCAAUUCAGUUUAACAGUAAGGCAGACAAGUUUGUGUUUUUUUACACCUUUUUACCCAGUCCCACUAUCCAAAGUCUCAUGCGUAUGACCAUUCCAAGAGAUAAUCUAUUCCAUCCAUGUAAAUUAUAAAGCGUAGUUCAUGCAUCAGUUUCAAAUAUUAAAUCAUGAAUCAGUUCGUAAUUAUCCGGUGUAUCAUCUCAGUCUUUUCCUAGUAUUUCAACCAAAUCAGUAUCAUUCGGGGACAAAUGAUCCCACGGGGGUAUUGUAAUAUCCCGAGUUUUCAUGUCAUAAACCUAUCAUCUUUUUCUUGUAAAUUUAGAUCUAGCCUAAAAUAAUGGUUACUCAUAAGUUGACACUCUCGUUUCUAUCUCAGCCAUUUCGCUAUUUUUAAUGAGAAUUCAUGCACUCGCAGAUCAGUUCAGUAGCUCAUUAUGUUUAAGAUUCAGUAGCUCAUUAUGUUUAAGAUUCAGUGAUUCAGUUUAUUUCAAUUGUGCAUGAUAACUUAUAGCCUUAGAUUCCUCAGUGUUUUCAGCUUCAUUAGCCAUAUUUGAGGAUGAAUGUUCCCAAGGGGGAGAUAAUGUAAUACCCCACAUUUUCGGGCUAGUCUUUGAACCAUCAUUCCUACAUGUGAUUUAUAAUCCAAGUGAUUUUCAUGUGAAUAUAUGUUUUAUGAUCUUUUUACUAGUGUGUGAAAUGCUCAUGAGGUAAAAAAUGUUCAUAGAAAUCAUUUAGAGCCAAGUUGAGCUAAGAUCCUUUAAUUCGUCCAAAAUUCGAUAUUUGAUUCUACAAGGGUCUACUUUAAACAUGUAUAACUUUUAAUAUAAAUGGAAUUUUUCAUCCCAAGACCCACUAAAUUUUAGAUAAUUGAAUCAGCUUUCCAACGAUACCAAUUUUGCCAAAAUCUGGUUCCUAAGAAAAAAGUUGUGGCCAUUUUUGUGAGUGAGGCAGUAGCAUUGCGUGAUUAGCGUGUGACGUACACCCUAUCGCACGCCCCCAAUUUGCAGGUUCUGUUUUUGCAUUUUUAAGGGAAAAAAGGUCCUUUCCUUCACCCAAACUCGUCCAUAAUAGAUAAUUAAUGCCUUAGGGAGCAUUAUUUGCCCCUUUAACCAUAAUUUCUCUCCAAGCCUCCAUCAAGAACAAACCCUAAUCCCCAUUCAAGAAGUUCAAGACUUCAUUACAAUACCUUCAAGAAAAACCAAGAAUUAGGUUCCUUAAUCCAAGAAUCUAAGAGUUCAAUCUUCCAAGUUCAAUAAUUCUUCAAAAUAUAUCAAGAAUAAAGUUUCUUUCACAAGUUCAUCACUCAAGCUCCAAGAUUCAAGAUUUCUUCAUCAAAUUCAAACUAUUAUGUGGGGUUUCAACAAGAACAAUUCUUUCGUUCUUGUCCCCAAAAUUAUGAAUUUUAUUAAAGAUUACAUGACUUGCAAGUUGGGGUUUAUGCCCAAAUUAUCUUGUUUUGAGUUUAUAAAGUUAUAAGUGAUUUAAGCCUUGAAUUGCAUGACUAUUUUCAUAUAUUUAUGCAAGUAGUGCAAUUUUCCAGAUUUUCCAAGUAAGUUUAGGAAUGAUAUUGUGAUUCUUGAUUUUAUUAUUUUGAUAUUGUUGAAGUAUUUUCAAGAAUCAUGUUGAGCAUAAAGUUUUGUUGUGAAUUUGUCAUAAGUUUAAAGCAUGAAUUUUAAGCCCAAAGAUUAAGUAUUGAAAUCCUCAAGAUCAUGUUCAUAAAAGUUUUGAUUAUUAAAUCCAUAUCAAGAGUGAGUUUGAGUUUUCAAGAAGACUAUGGUCUUAAGCUUUCCUCUAACAAAUUGCUUACCAAGAUUUAAAGAAAGUUGAUGUUUUGAUCCUAAGCUCAGAUAGGAAUCCACAUUAUUCAUACAGUUUAUGAUUUAAAGCAAAGAGAAGCACAAUUGGUUUUUAUUAUAAACCCUUGUGUUAUUUUAAGGUGGAUUUCCUAAAAGUUCUGAGCAACAAGUAUGGAAGUAGUAUUUAGCACCGAGUUGGGUAUGAUUCCAAGGUCUCAUGCCCCAGAACUACAUGCCACCAUAGGUUUAUGAUUUUCCCAUAGUGGGUUGAGAUGGUGAUCACUCCCUACAACUAAUAUAAGUGUAUACUAAAGCUUUUAGCACUACAUUUCAAAAGUCUUAUAAAUAGAAUGGCAAAAUAGUUUUAAAAACUACGUGUAAAGGCUUACAGACUUCCUCAGACAUUGCUUUACUUAAGCCUUAGUCACAGACUUACAGUUUUCAGUUCUUAGAAGAUAAAGAUGAGCCUUUCUAACUUAGCUUACAUGAUUUACAAAUAGAAUAGAAGUACAGCUUUUAGAACUAAGUGUUAUGACUCACGAUAUUUACAUACCAUGUUUUACUACUCAUGAUAUAUGACUUCUCAACUUUCAGUUACUCAAGCCAGUGUGAGUCAUUUUUGCUUAGCAUGUAUUAUUUACAAAAUAUAUGUACUUAUUUAUAUAUACAGUUACAGUUUUACUUAUGUAUUCACCCCGAUAUACUCAGUACAUCCUCAAAGUACUGAUCCACAUAUAUGUCUAUGUGCUACAUUAUCUCAUAAUGUAGGUACAAGUCAUAGCACACAUAUUAUAAUCAAACAGGUUGCAGCUUCCAGUUAGUAGGUAAUGAAUCCUUUUGAUUCAAGGGCUCAAGUCAGUCAGAGUUUGUGUAGCAUUUUAUUUUCUUCAUUCAUUCGUGUUGAUUGAGGAUAGCUGGGGUCAUGUCUCGGUUACCUAAAAUCAAUGCUAGUAGAGGCUUCAUAGACAGUUAGUAGAGUUAAUGUAUUUGACUUCAGUUUUGUUUGUAAAAGCAGAGUUGUAAACAUUUUCCUACAGUUGUAUUGAUCAUAUUUAACUAAAGAUGUGUUUUUCGCCUAUUUUGUACAGAUUUAUGUAUCUUAUUUAGUUGCUCAUAAGUUAUUCCUAUAUAAGAGUUAGCUUGGGAUCACUUGUGGUCCUAAGCACCAUGUGACAUCUCGGGAUAAAUUUUUGAGGCGUUACAAAGGGUGUUAGUACCAUGCCAUGGGUAAAGACAACUGCUGUGGAGUCAGUUCUAAUUAACGGGUGACCCCUAAGGUCAGUCUUAUCUAGUGGGUGAUCCCUGAGUUUGUCAGUCCUAUCUAAUAGGUGACAUCUCAUGACCUACGCUAUCUACAUAGUUAUGGAACUUAGGGAUUGCUUCUAGGGACCUAGUCCUAGCUAUCGGGUGUGCCCCUAUCCCUAGGCUCGCUCGGUGCUGAAUCCUACUCCCAACUGAAAGAAACUAAACUGAUUUCCUAGUUCAUACUAGGCUUGACUGAACUGUUACUAAUCGUAUUGUUUAACUGAGCUAAACUGAGAUCACUGAGUUCCAUUGACAGAUGAAAUUCUACUAAAUUUUUUCCUGAGUUCUGUAACUGACUGAAUUCUACUCAUCGUGACAUGACUGAGACUAUUCUAUAAUUGACACUGGCUCUAGGCAAACAACUAAAUUGUCAGGAAUUAAAUACCCUCAGGACUCGAUAACAUGAUAAGUAAAGCAUAACAUGAUCUUGCAAAGCAUAACAAUACAUACUUUUUCAUAAUUCAUCUAUAGAGAUAUUUCAUCAAACACUUGUGCACAUACUAACAUCUCACAAUCUCAUCAACUUAUUCACAUGAAAGUCAUAAACUCGUACAUAAUAGGAAUACAUACUAAUGUCUCAUGAUUCAUUCAAUACGGACUUUCAUCAAACACUUGACAUGCAUUAACAUGUACAUGAAUGGGAAUUUCUUGUCCACGUGCUAUAAUGACACUAUUUCAUUCACAUAGGCAUUUUAUCAAAUAUAUAGGGAGCAUGCUUUGAUCAUACAAUAGUCAAUACAUCUAAUUAUCAUGUCUAAUAUUUUAACUUGCAAUUUGAGGGGUUUAUCAUGAACAUCAUGCUAAUCAUCACAUUUUAGGAUCAAUUCUUGUAUCUUAUAAUCUAAAACAUGAAUCAAAACUCAACAACAACAUGAACAUGAAUUUCUAUUCAAGUAAAUCAUGAAAACUCACAAAUAUACAAUCUUUGUAUUUUGAAAAUAGAUUCUUGGGCUUCAUGGGUGGAAGGGACCCAUGAAUAAACAUCUAAUAGACCUUAAUGUUCGACUUUAAGAAGAUUGAUGAUGAAAUUCUUGAGGGCUGAAUCUUGAAUUAAAAACCCUAAUGUUUUUUCUUGAGAGAGUUUGAGAGGAUGAGAGUAUAUUUUGGUGAAUUAGGGCUAAUUUUUUUAGUUUAUGGCUAAAUGAGGAUGGAUAAAUGACCCUUUUACCCUUUAAAAAUUUGGGGCUAGACUGCUGAAAUUGCCCCAGUCAGAAUGGCAAGGGCACAGCGGGCUCUAGUUAGCCACUCUAUGAAGGGCGUCGCGGUUCUUAAAGCACCGCUAUGGCCAGGGCGGCACGGGCUUAAUACCUUUAGCUAAUAGUUUGGAAAUCCAAAUAGGCCCUUACCCUUGUCUAAAAUUUUGAAACUCACCCGAGAUGUACUACUGACUUGCCCCAUCAUGAAUCAACUUAAAAAUCAACAAAUAAAGGUUAGGAAGGUCAUGAAAUAAAUCUUUGAAGUUUGAAGGCUUUAAAAAAGUCUAAGUCUCAACACUUAGCUAAAAUUUUCCAAGUGUGAGACCCCUUAUAAAGCUCUAAGGGUCUGAAUUAAACUUAGAAUUUUUGUGGGGUCUUACAACUUGUGUCUAAUAUGAGGUCUAGAAUAAAGAAUCUUUCUUUAGGUUUUUCUCGCGACUUGGUGUUAGGGUGUAAGGCAGCUAUGCUGAGUAAUGAUAUGGAUAUAUCUAUAUUGGUGUUCUAUAUGCAACAGGUGGAAGAUGAGUAAAAAAGUGGAUAGAGGUAGAGAAAAGGCAGAAUAAGAAGGUUAAGCAUACACAUCAAGAUGUAUGCCAAUAGUUUGGUGGUUUAAUAAGAAAUCCUGGGAAAUUAUCAUCAAUCAGCCAGUGCUCCGACCCCCAUUAGUGACCAACACUCCUAGUCUAGCAAUGACCAUUGGGCACAGAGUGCCUUAUCUCAAGCCAGUAUAGCACAGUUGAUGCCAUCUUAUCCAUGUUACCUCACUUGUGGGAAGUUUCAUCAUGGGUUUUGUCGCGUCAGGUGUGGAGUGUGUUUUGGAAGUGUCAUUCGGGUCAUAUACAAUGAUAUUGUCUUUUAUCUAGGGUUUCCACCAAAGCUAAGGGUCUUAUUCUCUACUUCAUCAACUCUCAUAGCUAAGGGUGCUACAUUAGGGAUAGAAAAUAGCUGAAAUUGCCUUUAUGCACUUGACACCCAUCAGGAAUCCAAGGCAUCCUUAGAUGUUGUCACUAGUAUGUUAUAUAUUUUCUCUUAAGAUGUUUAUUGUUUUCUUGAUUUGGGUUCUACUCUGUCAUAUAUGAAUCUUUAUGUCAUUGUACACUUUGGUUCUAGUCCUAUAAGUGUGAAUUUUGGCAAGGUGUUGUAAAUUUUCUUUGGCAUAUAGUGUCUAGUAAAGGAAUCAAGGAGCACCUAAAAAAGAUUGAGAUAGUUAAGAAGUGGCCUAUACCCAUGACUCCAACCGACAUUAGGAGCUUUUUGGGCUUGGUCAGGUACUAUAAGAGGAUUUUUGAGAGUUUAUCAUCUAUUGUCGCUUUGCUGAUAAGGUUAAUUCAGAAAAGGUGAAGUUUUUAUGGUCUGAUCCUUGUGAGGGCAGUUUUGAGAAGUUAAAGGAUAAGUUGAUUUUUACUUCUAUUUUUACCCUACUCGAGGGAACUGAUGGGUUUGUUGUGUAUUACAAUGCAUCCCGUGUGGGUUUAAGGUAUGUUUUGAUGCAACAUUGUAAGGUUAUAUCUUAUGCUUCUAGGGAGCUUAAGGUUCAUGAGAGGAAUUACCCGACUAACGAUCUAGAGUUGGCGGAUAUGGUCUUUGCUGUGAAGAUUUGGCACCACAAUGUUGUAUGGGGUGAAUGUGGGUAUUUAUUCGGACCAUAAGAUCUUGCAGUAUGUGUUUACACAGUAGGAAUUGAAUCUUAAGAAGAGGCGCUGGAUCAAAUUGCUUAAAAAUAAUGACAUGAGCCUUCACUAUCGCCUAGGUGAAGCUACCAUUGUUGAUGAUGUGCUUAGUAGUCUAUCCAUAAGGAGUCUAUCCCACGUUAAAGAGGAUAAAAAAAGACUGUGAAGGACAUUCACCGGCUGGCUAGUUUAGGAGUUCACUUUUUACACUUUGACGAUGAAGGAGUGUUCAUUAUAGAAGUGGUUUAAUCAUCUCUUGGUACUGAGGUAAAGGGGAAGCAGGUUCUGGACCAUAUACCCAUGCAAAUCAAAGAUGGUGUGGGUCAUCAAAAGUUUAUGGCUUUUGAGACUGAGGUAGAUAACACCUUGAGAUAUCAAGGAAAGUUGUGUGUCCGUGAUGUAGAUGGGUUGCGGGAAAAUAUCUUGACUGAAGUGCAUGUGUCUAGGUAUACCAUUCAUUCGGGUUUGACACAAAUUUAUUAUAAUCUAGAAAAAAUCUAUUGGUGGAAUAAAUAUGAAAAGGUAUAUGACAAAUUUUGUUACCAAGUGUAUGGUCUGUUAGCAAGUCAAGGUUAAAUAUUUAACGUUGGGUGGCAUAUCAAAAGAGAUAGAAUUUUCCAUGUAGAAGUGGGAGAUGAUUAAUACAGAUUUCAUCUCGGGUCUUCCGCAGUCUCAAAAUUAGUAUGAUUCAAUUUGGGUCAUUGUGGACAGAAUGACCAAGUCUGCUCACUUUUUGCCGGUAAGGACUAACUACUCAGGAGAGGAUCAUGACAAGUUGUUUAUUUCGAAUUAGUUAAGUUGCAGGAACCCGAUGUCCAUCAUUUUAAACUAAGGUAUGCAGUUCUCUUCUUAUUUUUGGCAUUUUUUUCAAAAGGGGUUGGAUACCCAGGUGAACCAUAGCACAACUUUUCACCCUUAAAUGGAUGGGAAAGCGGAGCACACUAUUUAGACUCUAGAAGAAAUGCUAAGGUCCUGUGUAACAGACUUUAAAGGAAGUUGGGUUGAUCAUUUUCCUCUUAUUGAAUUUGCUUAUUGAACCAAGUUAGGACUAUCUUGGUUCACCAAUCCAUGGAGAAGGUAAAGGUGAUCCGAGAAAAACUUAAGGUUGCUUAAAGUUGCCAAAAGUCUUAUGCGGAUGUGAAGAGAAGGGAGAUGGAAUUUGAAGUUGAUGAUUGGGUAGUCUUUAAAGUUUCUUCAAUAAAGAGAAUCAUGAGAUUUGGGAAAAGGGGAAGCUUACCCCUCGUUUCAUUAGUCCAUACCAGAUAUUAAUAAGGAUUGGUAAUGUUUAUUUUAUAUUGGAAUUACCUACGAGUUUGACUUCAGGGUUUAUCUCGUAUUUCAUAUGUCUAUGCUUAAAAAGUGUGUGAGUGAUCCUUCUUUAGUAGUGGCCAUUAUAGAUAUUGGUGUCAAGGAUUCACUGUCCUACGAGAAAUUCCCAGUUGAGAUAUUGGAUAGGCAAGUUUGGAAACUGAGGACUAAGUAAAUAGCUUCGGUGAAGGUUCUUUAGAGGAAUCAAAAGGUAGAAGAGACUACGUGGGAAUAGGAAGAGGAUAUGAAAGCCAAGUACCCAUUCUUGUUCCCGAAACUGUUCAAGGUGUGAGUUUAAUUUCCCCUCUUGAAAUAUUUUGGAUUUGUCCUUGAAUUCCAUUGUGCUUUUUCUAUUAUCAUGCUAAGAAUGUCCUAACUCCUCAUUCAGGGAAGAAUUAUCCAGAGGAGGGGAUUAUGUAAGAUCCCGUAAAUUUUUGACCAAUUUAUUUAAGACCCUCCCUUGUUCUUAAUGGUAAUUUUUGACUUGAAUCCUGACAAGGGAUGUUACUGAGAUGUUUUUGAAGAGUUUCAAAAUUUUAGAAAAGAGUUCGGGGUCAUUUAUGGACCUCGAGAUAGUGAGCCUCAGUGAUAGGGGUGUAACGCUACCUAUGCCCUGUGAUAAGAGCAUGGCACAUGAUAAGGGUAUGGAACACUUCCUACGCCCCGCGAUAAGGGUGUUCCACGCUGCUGGGCACAAAUUGCCCAACUUUUUUUUCCAAUUGAGGGCAAGGGAUUUUUGAUCCUUUUCCUCAUUACACAACAUAAAAUGUCUUCUAAUCCCUCAUAGCCAUUAGUUGUCAACUUUUAACAUUGCUAUUCUCCUCUCCAUCUCCCAAGUCAAGAAACUCAAGAUUUUCUCAAGAAUUUACUACUCCGGACUCUAAAUUCCACAUUCUCUCCACAUUCUUCCAAUUUUUAGGCAUGCUGAACACUCCGUAAUUUAAAUACUAUAAUAUUUCAUUCAUUCGAUUGUUAUUUAAGAGCUCUAGAAUAAUGGGUUUAAAUUAGGGUUUGAUAAUUGUCAUCACUAAUAUAAAAUAUUGAUUUUCUCUUCUUAUAAAUUAUUUAUAACCACUUGUGGUGGGUUUUGGAUUUUUGAAUAACAUUUUUGAAAGGAUGCAUUGCAUUAUAUAAGUAUUGAAACAUUUAAUUUCAAGGAUGAUUGAACUCAUGAUUUUUCAAGCCCUUUGAAAAAUAUUUGAAUUGAGAUGCUAAACAAAGAUGACACCCUAUCUUUUUGAGAUAUUAAAAGUGUUAAACUUUAUGAAUGCUUUGAGGUUUUUAUGCUAUUUAAUAAUUAUUAUGAGCAUGAUUUUUGAAUGAAGGGGUUAAAGAGUCAUAACUAUUUUAAGAUAAUGGUUCUUGGCAUGAUAUGAAUGGUUUGUAAGUCUUGGUAUGAUGAUACCAGUAUGAAUAUGCCCUAAUGAAUGAUUCCAUGAUAAAUGUUAUGUGCAAACUGUUUUAAUUAGGAUCUAAAGGGAAUUAUAUAGUUCAACGUGAAGAUGUAAGUCUUUAUGACCAACGCCUAAAACCUAUGUUUGACGGAAUAGAGAUGUCGUACCUUAAUUGGAUGAUCAGAUUAUGUCCUUAACAUAAGGAUAAUAUAAAUAGUGUCUUUAGUCUACUUGUAAAUUAGCCUAACCUCGGUAUAUAUGACCAACACGAACUGGGGCCCCGUCGGUGGUGGAGCACCGAACUCUUAUAGCUGUGGGUUACUAGAUGACCCAUACUACCAAUGAGUCACUAGAUGAUUAUGAGAGCUAUAUGGUUCAUGAUUAAAGUAAAGGUUCAUGUAACAUGUCCCUUAUCCCUACCCAGUCAUCCUUUUAUGCACAUAGACCUGAUUUGCAUAUAGUUUAUAACUGGUUUUGUUAAAUGCAUAUAUGUUUUAUCCCUUUUCAUAUAUUGUAUGCAGUAGUACUGACUUGUAAGACCCCAAAAAAUACUAAGCUUGACUCCAUCCAUUUUUAGCUAAGGUCCCAGUCUUAAAUUUUUUAGCUAAGUAUCAAGACUUAGAAUCAUUUUAAGGUUCCAAAUUGGGAGAAUUUUAUUUCCGACCUUCCCGACCUUUGUUUGUUGAUUUUUAAGUUGAUUCAUGAUCGGAAAAGUCAAUAGUACAUCUUGGGUGAGUUUUAGAAUUUUUGAACAUGCGUAAAGGCAUGUUUGGUAUGUUGAAACAGUAGCUCAGGGCGACGGUACCUAGGUGUAGUCCAGAUGGGCAAGGUGGUGCCCUGCAUAGAGAGGUACUCCAGGGACCGUGGCGCCUUGUCCAGUCCGACUGGGGUAAUUCUAUAGUCUAGCUCCAAAAUCUUAAGGGCAAAAAGGUCAAUUCCCUUUACCCGUAUUUAGCCAAAACACGAGAUUUAGCACCAAAACACCAAAAUAUACUUACUUUUUCUCAAAUUCUCUCAAGAACAAGCCUUAGGGUUUUCAAUUGAGGAUUCAAAGCUUACAGAUUUCACCGUCAAUCAUCUCAAAAUCAAGCAACAAGGUAUGUUAAGUGUUCAUCCUUGGGUAUCCUUCCACCAUUGGAGUUCAAGAACUUUUUUUUUAAGAAUGAAUUAUGGAAUCCAUGUUAUGAAUUGAAUUGUGUGCAUGUUAAUGUUAUUGUACGGUUUCCAAGUAGAAAUCUUUGGUGGAUUCCUUGAAAUUAUGAUAGCAUGUAUGUUGAAUUUUGAUUCUCUUAAGUUGAAACCAUUAGAUUAUGAAUUAAUAUGGUAGUCAUGAUGUGUUAGCAUUGUUAUUUAUGCCCAAGAACAAGGUUAUGCUUCUAUGUGUUUGUCAAAAUGCCUAACUGAAUAAAUUGUGACCUUUUCUAUUGAUCUAAAUGAUGAACUUAUGCUAUAUCCUCAUGUUCAAAAUGACUCCCAUGAUAAAGCCAUGCCUUGAAAGUGUUUGUUGAAAUCCCUAUGUGGGUGAAAUAGUGCAAUUUUAUCAUGAUAACAUGUAAUCCCCAUUCAUGCUCAUGUUAAUGCAUUACAAGUGAUUGAUGAAAUGCCUUAGCAAGUAAAUUAUGAAUAUAUGGCCAUUGUUGUGAUUCAAGAAUUAUGUUAUGAUUUACUCUUUACGCUAUCGAGUCCUCAGGUAUUUAAUACCGGACAAUUUAGCAAUAUACCUAGAGCCAGUGUCAGUUAUAGAAUAAUAUCAGUCAUGUCACGAUCAGUAGUACUCUCAGUCAGUUACAAAGCUCAGGAAAGCUCAAUAAACUUAGUAUCAGUCCACUCUAGUUCAGUACUCAGUUCAGACCUCAGCUCAAUUCAGUUAAUCAGUACAAUCAGUAAUAGUUUAGUCUAGCCUAGUAUGAACUAGAAAAUCAGCUCAGUGUCUAUUCAAUUAGGAGUAGGAUUCAUCACCGAGUGAACCCAAGGAUGGGGACUCACCUACCAGUAGAGGGUGUGAUCCUUAGAAGCAAUCCUUGCAUUCCAAAACUACGUAUCCCGUGUAGGUUGAGACAUCAAACCUGCCAGACAAAGGUUGAUGAGGUGUUUUAACCUAUCACUUGAGGGUUCUACCAUUCUCAUUAGCGAACCUGCCAGAUGAGCGUAUCUCUUCACCCUUCCAACUAGGGUUACAGGUUGGACCCGAAAUCUAUUUAGAAAAGGGGCAUAUUAGUUAGAUGAUUACCUCCCACAGUCUCAGUUUCAGAUUCAAUUUUAGUAUAGAACUCAGAUAGUUCUACAGAAUCAGGAUUAUCUAAUACAGUCACACAACUCAGCAAAGAACUUAGAUAGUUCUUCAGAUUCAGGACUAUCAAAAAUAGUCACUCAGUAUCAGUAAUACAGUAUUAGUAAACACAGAUGUCAGUUAAUUAGUAUUUAGACUCAGUAUUCAGUAUUAUCACGAUCUCAGUUACAAUUUAUGUAUUCAUGCAUGUAUUUUUAUUCAGUCAUAUUUAUUUCAUUCAGUUAGUAUUGUUCAUGCAUAUGAAACCAUGCAUUUAGCCUAACUCACUUUUUUAUACCAGUAUAUUUAAAGUACUAACACAUACUUUUCUCUUGCACUAUGGUGUCUUAUAUCAUUGUUUCAGAUGCAAGGACUCCUGACCAUCCUUAGCAUCCCAUCUUAUCAACAGCAGACUUGUAGUGAAGUUAUCAUUUCAGUUAGUAGUAUUCAGUUUAUUUUUAGUAGUCAGAGUUAGUUGGGGACUUGUCCCAUCAACUCCACAGUUCAUAAAAUUUAGAGGUUUUUCAGGCUAUAGUUUCAGACAGAUGUUCAGUUUUUAGUAUUGAGGUUCAGUUUUGGUAUUAUUAUACCUUAUUUCAUUUUGUUAUAGUAUUGAAACUUAUGGAAAGUUUCUAUCUUUUUCCACAUUUAUCUCAGUUAUAUUGUUAUUACAGUAUUACUAUUGUUUAGUGCUCACAGCAAGUACAAGUCAUGGGUUAGCUAGUGGUCCUUUGGGAUUGUUAGCACCGUGUAGCAUUCAGGGUACAAACUCGGGGCAUUACAAACUUAGUAUUAGAGAUUAAGGUUCAACAGUGUCCUAGGAAGUCUAAAAGCCGCAUCUAUUAGAGUUUUGUGCAUAGGUGUAUUGGACGCCACACUUAUGGAAAGGAGGCUACGAGAUGUUUUAGAAAUAGUUUCCCUUAUUUCAGUAUUCACGUCAUGCGAAUGAGCAUGAGCUCAAGUUGAACUUUCAGUCUAAUCUAUUUUUUCCCUUUGUUUACAGAACAUGCCUCCCAAGAAAGGUAAUGGAAGGAGAAUUGGAAAUCAGUCAACAACUCAACCCGUUCAGGCAAAUCCCCUAGAUGAACACGUCUCACAUGCAGAAUUUAGAGUUGCAUUUACUACUCUAGCUAAUUUAGGUUUUGCUUAGAAUGAAUGCCCAACUACUAUUUUGGCCAACCCAGUGGCCAAUACUACUGUAGCCAGGAUUCGGGACUUCACCCGAAUGAACCCUCCAUCUUUUAUCAGGUCUAAGUCAGAUGAGGACCCUCAGGAAUUCCUUGAUUAGGUAUAGAAGGUUAUAGAUAUUAUGGGGCUAACAUCUACUGAGAGUGCUAAGCUAGCUAUAUAUUAGUUGCAAGAUAUGGCUCACUCAUGGUUCAAAUAGUGGAAAGAAGAGAGGGUCGUAGAUGCAGGGCCCAUAGAAUGGGAGAAGUUUUCCACUUAUUUUCUGGAUAGAUUCUUUCCCCUUUAGAUGAGAGAAGCUAAGGUGUUAGAAUUUAUCAACCUCAAGCAGGGAAACAUGACAGUGAAAGAAUAUUCUCUCAAGUUUACUCAGCUAGCUAGAUACGCUUCUUAUAUAGUGGCAGAUAACAGAUCUAAGAUGAGUAAAUUUAUAUCUAGGGUGAAUGAUAGUCUGGUCUAGGAGUGCAGGACCAUAAUGAUUAUUAGUGAGAUGGACCUAGCUAGGUUGAUAGUCCAUGCUCAGUAGAUAGAGGAGCAAAAAAAUAAGGAGAGAGAAGCAGAAUAAGAGAGCCAGAACAGGUAGUUUUAAAUUUGCUCAACCUAAGUCAUAGGGUGGGAAUUGUUCUUAGUUCCAUCCUAAAUCUUUAGUUCCAGGUCCAUCCUCAGUCAGUGCCCCAGUUCCAAAAUUCAGAGAUGGCAAUAGAGAUAGGGCGUUAGGCCCUAAACCUUAGGUUAGUGUUAGCAGUGCCUAAACCAAUCCUAUAUGUCAGCAGUGUGGCAAAAAUCACCAGGGUAUGUACAUAGUGGGCAAUGAUGUGUGUUUUGAAUAUGGCAAGCUAGGCCACAGAAUCGGAGAUUAUCCCCAGUCAGGUUCUUAAGGUCAACAUAACCGUCUUCCAGCUCAGUUUGGUCGUCUGAAUUAGUAGGGUGCCUCAUCCAGUGCCACUAGUAGGCAACGCCAAAACAGACUUUAUGCUCUUCAGUCCCGACAAGAUCAGUAAAAUUCUUCUGAUGUGAUCACUGGUACGUUACAAGUUUACCAUUUACAUGUUUAUGCUUUGUUAGAUCUAGGAGCUUUCUUGUAUUUUUUACUCCUUAUAUAGCUGUUGAUUUCAGAGUCAGUCCCAAAAUCCUAGUAGAGCCUUUCUCAGUAUCUACCUAGUGGGUAAAUCUAUCAUAUCCCAAUGGGUAUACAAGAACUAUCCAGUUAUGGUAUCUCAAAAAGUCACAUAAGCAGACUUAGUCGAAUUAAAGAUGACCGAUUUUGAUGUCAUUCUCAUUAUGGAUUGGCUUUAUUCUCGAUAUGCCUUAGUCAACUGCAAAAACAAAAUAGUCCAGUUUCAGUUCCCAAAUGAACCUAUCCUAGAGUGGAGGGGUAGUAUUUUAGCACUUAGGGGUCAGCUUGUUUCUUACCUUUGGGCGAGAAAAAUGAUAUCUAAGGGAUAUGUCUACCAUCUAGUUUGAGUCCAGAACUCUAACUCAGAAACCCCUAAUCUUGAAUCAGUGUCAGUAGCAUGUGAAUUCCUAGAUGUGUUUCCCAAAGAUCUUCUAAGAGUUCCUCCAGAAAGGGAAAUUGAAUAACACAUAUUCGAACAUACCAAACACGCAAAUUAUUCAGGAUUACGUAAAAUUGAGAGGAGCAAGGAUAGAAUUGAACCUUCCGAAUAUCGAUUUUUCGUUGAUAAUAAUAUUUAAGAAAACCCGAAUCCAAAGGCCUUAAUGCUGCUUUCAAGUAUUAUUCUGAUUAAAUCUGGUAGAGCCCGUGCCGAUGAACCUCGAAUCAACAAUCUCCAACCCGAACGUCGACUAACCGAAUUUCGAACCAACAGCGACGACAAGACAAGACGGAGCCCCCAACCCGAACAUGGACCAACCGGAUUUUUCCAACCAACAACGACGAUAAGACAAGACAGAAACCCCAACCCGAAUGUCGACUAACCGAAUUUUGAACCAACAACGACGAUAAACAAAAGGAACCCUAACCCGAACAUCAACUAACUGGAUUUCGAACCAACAACGACGAUAAACAAGACGGAACCCCAACCCGAACAUCCACUAACCUUGCGAAUGAAAGAAGCAGCAACCUGAACUCUCGGAUAAAAAAUAAACCUCAACAAACGGCUAAACCAACUCGGAGUUAAACAUCUAUGACUGGGACUCCGGCGACGAAAGACGAUGACACAAGUCCGGUUCAGCUGACUUUACUGUUUCGAACUGUGAUUAUUAUUUAAUCGUACUUUUGAUUUCAAACCGAACAGCUGACCGGAGCUCACGACCUGGACCUCAUCGGAACCUCAAAUCGGAAUCUGUGAAUCUAAAAUGGUCAACCCAAACUCGAUUAGUACCGAGAACGGAGCUGUUCUAGUUUUUCGGUAGAUAUAAGUCGAUUACAGCGAGAAGCUAGGUUGCCGGUUUUAAUGGAUUUUACGGCGCCUCUCCGAUCACUAUUCCCCAAAUCCCGAUUUCUCUCUCUGUUUUUGCUACUCUGUUUUCUUCGUCUCUCCCUACUUUUGCUACUCUGUUUUCUACGUCUUCCUCUCUCUAAAUCAACCCCCCAAUUUCUUGUUUUCCGAUCACCACCGACCCCUACUGCGUGCGUGUGUGUGAGGAACGUUUGUCGUGUAAAUGGUGAGGGUGAGGGUCGAUCGGAGGAAAGGAAGAAGAUGAGUGUGUGUAUUGUGUAUAUUAAUGGUGAUGAGAGGUUCGGUUUUUUUGUGGAGAAGAAAAGAAAAAUUUUGAGAAGUGCUGUAUAUCUUCUCUGUGAAGAGAAUGAAGCUUUUUGUUUUUUUAUCUCCCAAAAAUGGUUUCCGUCUCUCUCUGCUUGCCCCUUUUUUUGUGAGAGUAUGUGUGUAUAUAUUGUGAGGGUGGGUAGUGGUGAGGUAGGGUAGGUGGGGUCACGUGGGUAGGGGGUAGGAGGUAGGGUGUGGGGUGGUGAGGUGGUUUAUUUUGAUUCGGUAGGUUGUUAGGAUAAGAUAGAAUUAGUUAGGAUAGGUUUUGUUAGGGAUUUUGUUAUUUUAUUUUAUAUAUAUNNNNNNNNNNNNNNNNNNNNNNNNNNNNNNNNNNNNNNNNNNNNNNNNNNNNNNNNNNNNNNNNNNNNNNNNNNNNNNNNNNNNNNNNNNNNNNNNNNNNNNNNNNNNNNNNNNNNNNNNNNNNNNNNNNNNNNNNNNNNNNNNNNNNNNNNNNNNNNNNNNNNNNNNNNNNNNNNNNNNNNNNNNNNNNNNNNNNNNNNNNNNNNNNNNNNNNNNNNNNNNNNNNNNNNNNNNNNNNNNNNNNNNNNNNNNNNNNNNNNNNNNNNNNNNNNNNNNNNNNNNNNNNNNNNNNNNNNNNNNNNNNNNNNNNNNNNNNNNNNNNNNNNNNNNNNNNNNNNNNNNNNNNNNNNNNNNNNNNNNNNNNNNNNNNNNNNNNNNNNNNNNNNNNNNNNNNNNNNNNNUAUAUAUAUAUAUAUAUAUAUAUAUAUAUAUUUGUAUUUUGUGAGGGUAUAAUAACAUGGGUGAGGGUACACGGUAGGAUAAAAUAAGAAUGAGUAAAAACGACAUUGGAAGGGACGAAAUUAGGUGUCUACAUCGAUAAAGGAGAAAAAUAUAUAUCAUAUUUUAAUUUUACAAGUUAUAGUUCACUUUUGAUACAUGUUAGCUUUACACCUUAUAGUCUAAUUUGUUUUCGAGAUUGUAGAGUCAAGUUAGGACAUUAUAUAUAAGAGUCUUAAUUCAAUCAUUAGUCUUUAUUUUUUUUAUCUAGUGUGACAAUAUUAUUUGAUUGCAAACAUUUAUAAAACUAGAUAAUAGGUAUCUAGCAUAGUAGAUUUACAUUAAUUAGUCAUGCGUGUGCUUUUAAUCCUCCUAGCAAGAAAUAAAAAGAAUUCAUACUAGAGAUCAAAUGUUAGUCACAGAUAAAUCAAAAGCAAACAUAACUUACAACUGAUCCAUCCUUUGAGGCAUUUCCCAUUCCCUCCUUCAAGCGAUGAGCACGGACUUGGCCCUCAAGAUCACUAGUCUGUACAUAUAAUAGUAAAAGAACAAUGUUAAGUUUAGUGUUUUUCCAAGACUUCAUUUGGAUAACUAAUAUAUAUAUAUAUAUGUAUGUAUAUGUACCUUAUGGAUUUGGGAUUUCCAAGAUUGUGUCAAAGGCUGAAUUUUUUCGGCUUGAUCAUCAAAAGGAAGCAAAUUCAUUCAAUCUUGAGAGUGAAUUUUUCUCUUCUGCAAUUGUUGUUCUUGAUUUGCCAUAUUCAUUUAUGUAUUUGAUGUGUUGUUGGGUUUGUUUGUACUUUGUAUGUUCUUCAAACUGUUUCUUCACUUUUUCAACUUCCUGUCUUCCUUCACCACUUGGUCCAUUUAGAAUUCCUUCAAAUUUUGUGUGUUUUAG